GGCAAGAGCAAUGAGAACGAAAAAUGAGAGAGAUUGAGUUUAACAUUCGAUCAUCCUUUUCCUAUCAUCCUCUACGUCAUCCUAUAGAUAUUUAGGGAUAAAAGGAUUCCCAAAUCAACUAGUCCUGUAAAGCAUGCCGUCUCAUUACAGUAGCAUCCAUAUUUACUUAAUUUAGAACCUUAACUGUUUGACGAUUUUGGAAAAUCUAAAACCAUACCAGGUGUCAUCACAUUAUGCGGCAGCGUUGCCGCCUAUCAUGUAGUCGAUCAUCGAUCUACGUUUAUGUGACAGCUAUAGCUCUCUUCACACUUUGCAACAUCCUUGCUAUGAUAUUUAUAUC